rnacentral:rRNA from 1 species
CCUACGGGAGGCUGCAGUGAGGAAUAUUGGUCAAUGGCCGUAAGGCUGAACCAGCCAAGUCGCGUGAAGGAAGAAGGAUCUAUGGUUUGUAAACUUCUUUUAUAGGGGAAUAAAGGUAUCCACGUGUGGCUAUUUGCAUGUACCCUAUGAAUAAGCAUCGGCUAACUCCGUGCCAGCAGCCGCGGUAAUACGGAGGAUGCGAGCGUUAUCCGGAUUUAUUGGGUUUAAAGGGUGCGUAGGUUGUUUUUUAAGUCAGCGGUGAAAGUUUGUGGCUCAACCAUAAAAUUGCCGUUGAAACUGGAAGACUUGAGUAUGUUUGAGGUAGGCGGAAUGCGUGGUGUAGCGGUGAAAUGCAUAGAUAUCACGCAGAACUCCGAUUGCGAAGGCAGCUUACUAAGCCAUAACUGACACUGAAGCACGAAAGCGUGGGGAUCAAACAGGAUUAGAUACCCUAGUAGUC